UGCCAGACUCCUACGGGAGGCAGCAGUGGGGAAUAUUGCACAAUGGGGGAAACCCUGAUGCAGCGACGCCGCGUGAGCGAUGAAGUAUUUCGGUAUGUAAAGCUCUAUCAGCAGGGAAGAAAAUGACGGUACCUGACUAAGAAGCCCCGGCUAACUACGUGCCAGCAGCCGCGGUAAUACGUAGGGGGCAAGCGUUAUCCGGAUUUACUGGGUGUAAAGGGGGCGCAGACGGCAGCGCAAGCCAGGAGUGAAAGCCCAGGGCCCAACCCCGGGACUGCUCUUGGAACUGCGCGGCUGGAGUGCAGGAGGGGCAGGCGGAAUUCCUGGUGUAGCGGUGAAAUGCGUAGAUAUCAGGAGGAACACCGGUGGCGAAGGCGGCCUGCUGGACUGCGACUGACGUUGAGGCCCGAAAGCGUGGGGAGCAAACAGGAUUAGAUACCCUAGUA
rnacentral:rRNA from 1 species